rnacentral:ncRNA from 1 species
CUCAGAAAAGGGCAAACCUACUGAAAAGUACGGACGCAAAACCACAGACCUAAGGCGAACUCUGCUAUGGUGGCUGGGUUACGAAG